UACGUAGGCAGCGAGCGUUGUUCGGAGUUACUGGGCGUAAAGGGUGCGUAGGCGGUGAUGUAAGACAGUUGUGAAAUCCCCGGGCUCAACCUGGGAACUGCAUCUGUGACUGCAUCGCUGGAGUGCGGCAGAGGGGGAUGGAAUUCCGCGUGUAGCAGUGAAAUGCGUAGAUAUGCGGAGGAACACCGAUGGCGAAGGCAAUCCCCUGGGCCUGCACUGACGCUCAUGCACGAAAGCGUGGGGAGCAAACAGG
rnacentral:rRNA from 1 species